rnacentral:pre_miRNA from 1 species
GGAUUCGGGAUAUUGCGAAAUCAGUUGCCCCGUGUAGACGCGUUAUUCCGAGAGAAAACCCUUCUCUCAGAAUAACUGUUAUUUCUCGUGCAAUGAGGAUUAACAGUUAUUCCGAGAGAAGGAUUUUCUCUCGGAAUAACGCAUCUACAAGGGGCAAUUUAUUUCGCAAUACCCAGAAUCC